AAGUCGUAACCACAGUAUACCAGUAGAAAAGGUUUUUGUUUUUGUAGCUGUUUCGUGGUGAAAGUCCUUUAUGGGGGCCAAAUUUCCGUACAAGAAAUUGAGCGCAUGGUUGCUUUUGCAUUCCAAAAGAACGAAUAUUAGAAAACAUUGAAAAAAAGUCUGAUAUAAUACAAUUAUAUUCUACUAGAAAUAAACUCGAUAGUGUGCGCUAAUUAGAUAAUGUGAUAAUCAUGUUUAAAAACUCUUUUCAAGUCUUAUUUUUCAGAAAAUAAAAUUGUGGAUCAGAUUGCUCUGAGCGCUUGUGUUGUUUACCAAGAAAAUGCACCCCUGUUGGUUUUUAUUUCUGUAUCGCAUCGCGGUGAGUUUCUAUUUCUUGGUAAUUCGGUUUGUGAAAUGACUAUUAGUUACAAGCACAGCAUCAUCAACGGUGAUUGCAAGAACUACUGCAAUCCCUGCGGUUUUUCCUCUUGGUGAAUGCGUUCUGGUCGUGACCAAGGGUGGUCUCCCAAUCGGCCGGGAAUAAGGCUAUUGUUGCAGAACAAAACGCCACAAACACUGGUGUGGUAAAUAAGUUCCAGCAGUACUGCCCACCGCCGUCGUUGUAAUGAUUUCGAUAGCUGAACAAACGCCAUCUCCUGGGCAUUCCCACAUGCCGACAAUAGCUGUUAUAUCACGUGUGAAUGCAACUGCGGCUAAAUUUGGUUAUUAACAGUGCAAUAGCGCCAUGUCAUUGGCAAAAACACUAAGGGCUGCUGGCAUAUAGAGGUUGUAAAGUUUUUGGAAUCGAUGAACUUACUCGAAGAAGACGAUGGUCGAAAACAUAUGAUGAAACGUCUUCUGGCAUGCCUUUGACAAUCGUUAAGUCAGACGGAGGCUUCACAUGCGAUAUUUCACACAUGCCUGGAAUUCGUUAGCGGACAGAGCACACAUUUACAAAAUAUUUAUCGUUCUGCAGAACGUGCAUGCAUAUAUGCAUAUUCGAUUCCGACUGAAACCUGGUAACUGAGUUGCUAUAUUGGCACGAACUAAGCAAGGCUGUCAUAGGAUCCAUCGUAGUCCGAUUUUUCGUGAAAUCUACGAAAAUGCUAUUAAAUUCGAGUAGCUACAAACGCAGUGGUUGCUUUGAAUAAACACGUUCAUAGCAGUUCAGAUUCAGUGAUCGCUUUUUUGUAGAUUUUAUGAAAGAUCGGACUACGAUGGAUUCCGCCACCAAUAUGUUUUCUCCUUUGACAAGAUGUUGGAGAAUCGCGGCAGCACAGCCCUAUACCUACUCUAUGCUCUUACGCGCAUAUGCUAAAUUUCUCGCACCUAGCAUAAGUGCUUGACAAAGGCAGAAGGCAUAUCUUCAACAUUAUAACUUAAAGUAAGAGUUUAAGGUAUGCAAUAAAAGAAUACAACAGAACCAAAAA
rnacentral:lncRNA from 1 species